CGAGUCAUUGUAGCAUACAAGGCAUACGGCUCAGUAACGCGUAGUCCACCUAACCUAUGGACGGGAAUAACCUCGGGAAACUGAGAAUAAUGCCCGAUAGAACAUUAUGCCUGGAAUGGUUUAUGUUCCAAAUGAUUUAUCGCCGUAGGAUGGGACUGCGGCCUAUCAGUUUGUUGGUGAGGUAAUGGCCCACCAAGACUAUUACAGGUACGGGCUCUGAGAGGAGUAGCCCGGAGAUGGGUACUGAGACACGGACCCAGGCCCUAUGGGGCGCAGCAGGCGAGAAAACUUUGCAAUGUGCGAAAGCACGACAAGGUUAAUCCGAGUGGUUUCUGCUAAAGAAACCUUUUGUCAGUCCUAGAAACACUGAUGAAUAAGGGGUGGGCAAGUUCUGGUGUCAGCCGCCGCGGUAAAACCAGCACCUCAAGUGGUCAGGAUGAUUAUUGGGCCUAAAGCAUCCGUAGCCGGCUCUGUAAGUUUUCGGUUAAAUCUGUACGCUCAACGUACAGGCUGCCGGGAAUACUGCAGAGCUAGGGAGUGGGAGAGGUAGACGGUACUCGGUAGGAAGGGGUAAAAUCCUUUGAUCUAUUGAUGACCACCUGUGGCGAAGGCGGUCUACCAGAACACGUCCGACGGUGAGGGAUGAAAGCUGGGGGAGCAAACCGGAUUAGAUACCCGGGUAGUCCCAGCUGUAAACUAUGCAAACUCAGUGACGCAUUGGCUUGUGGCCAAUGCAGUGCUGCAGGGAAGCCGUUAAGUUUGCCGCCUGGGAAGUACGUACGCAAGUAUGAAAC
rnacentral:rRNA from 1 species